CGGUCUGGCGGCGAGUGGCGAACGGGUGAGUAAAGCAUCGGAACGUGCCCAGUAGCGGGGGAUAACUACUCGAAAGAGUAGCUAAUACCGCAUACGCCCUACGGGGGAAAGGGGGGGAUCGCAAGACCUCUCACUAUUGGAGCGGCCGAUAUCGGAUUAGCUAGUUGGUGAGGUAAAGGCUCACCAAGGCGACGAUCCGUAGCUGGUUUGGGAGGACGACCAGCCACACUGGGACUGAGACACGGCCCAGACUCCUACGGGAGGCAGCAGUGGGGAAUUUUGGACAAUGGGGGCAACCCUGAUCCAGCCAUCCCGCGUGUGCGAUGAAGGCCUUCGGGUUGUAAAGCACUUUUGGCAGGAAAGAAAUCGCAUGGAUUAAUACUCUGUGUGGAUGACGGUACCUGCAGAACAAGCACCGGCUAACUACGUGCCAGCAGCCGCGGUAAUACGUAGGGUGCAAGCGUUAAUCGGAAUUACUGGGCGUAAAGCGUGCGCAGGCGGUUCGGAAAGAAAGAUGUGAAAUCCCAGGGCUUAACCUUGGAACUGCAUUUUUAACUCCCGAGCUAGAGUGCGUCAGAGGGGGGUGGAAUUCCACGUGUAGCAGUGAAAUGCGUAGAUAUGUGGAGGAAUACCAAUGGCGAAGGCAGCCCCCUGGGAUAACACUGACGCUCAUGCACGAAAGCGUGGGGAGCAAACAGGA
rnacentral:rRNA from 1 species